GUCAUUCUGUCUCGUAGGUGACCUGCGGAGGGAUCAUUACAAGUGACCCCGGUCUAACCACCGGGAUGUUCAUAACCCUUUGUUGUCCGACUCUGUUGCCUCCGGGGCGACCCUGCCUUCGGGCGGGGGCUCCGGGUGGACACUUCAAACUCUUGCGUAACUUUGCAGUCUGAGUAAACUUAAUUAAUAAAUUAAAACUUUUAACAACGGAUCUCUUGGUUCUGGCAUCGAUGAAGAACGCAGCGAAAUGCGAUAAGUAAUGUGAAUUGCAGAAUUCAGUGAAUCAUCGAAUCUUUGAACGCACAUUGCGCCCCCUGGUAUUCCGGGGGGCAUGCCUGUUCGAGCGUCAUUUCACCACUCAAGCCUCGCUUGGUAUUGGGCAACGCGGUCCGCCGCGUGCCUCAAAUCGACCGGCUGGGUCUUCUGUCCCCUAAGCGUUGUGGAAACUAUUCGCUAAAGGGUGCUCGGGAGGCUACGCCGUAAAACAAACCCAUUUCUAAGGUUGACCUCGGAUCAGGUAGGGAUACCCGCUGAACUUAAGCAUAUCAAUAGCCGGAGGAA
rnacentral:rRNA from 1 species